rnacentral:lncRNA from 1 species
UCACUGUUGCACAAUGUAUAUAUACGCAAGAUGUUUAUACUCAAAAACUGCAGUAUGUAUAGGGUUUGAACUUUAAUUUGUAGAUAGGUAAAUCCAUUACGCUAUAGUGAAAUGUGUAUGGGCGGCUUGAAAAAACUACAAAAUAUUAAAAAAAAAUAAUAAGUCAUAGAAAAAUAAGUGUUGUCCAGUCGAAAAACACGUAGGUAUUUUCAAAAAAAGUUGAAACAUUUGGGGUGCCUGGUUAAGGAUUUUUCUUUUAAUAGUUAUCUUUAAUACAUAUUAUCUAGGUAGUUAGGAUAUUUUUCAUUAGAUUUUAAUUUCAUUACUUAAUAGAACUUUUAGGAUGCUUAAUCUCCAUAAUUUUUAAAAACCUAAUUUAUUUCUGACUUUAAAUAUAUAAUAAAUGUAACAGUAAUACAUAUUAGAAAUUAAAUAAUCACUCUGAUAAUAACUGUAGAUGAUUAUAAAAUCAACCUCUGUUUAACAGUAAAAUUUCUAAAAGAACAGUAAUCACAUAGGUUAUUUCUGUUGUCGUUUUUUAGGUACACUAUUAUUUAUAUAAUUCCAUCAUAUAUGUCAAUACAAAUUGAUUACUCUUUAAUGGACUACAAAAAUUGCCCCUUUGGCAACAAGGUUCUUCCGCACUCUAAUAUGGGCCUGCUAAUGGGUCACUAUAUAUUAUACAAUUUCCUUGACCUUUCUGAAGUCCUAAUCUGUUCCAGAUUAUAUUGAAAUAAAAAUGUUUUAUUUGAAUACAUAUUUCAUUUUAAUAAUUAUAAUUUAUAAUUGAUCAUAAACUUAUAUGGUUAAAAACUAUAAAUUAUAUACUGUAUUUACAUAUUUUACUGUGACAUGAUUAAAUAUUAAAUAAUUUACUGUUUAUUAUAAAAUAUAUCUGCCAAUGUUUGUUUCAUUUUAGUAUUAUAAUUUUUAGAUAUAAUGGAUUCUUCUGAACUUAACUGUAUUUCAAAAAAUAAAUGUUUUGGAGGUUCUCAACGAGUUUAUGAACAUUUUAGGUAAUUAUUUAAACAAUUAUGAUAAUUGCUGUACGUCUGAUUACGAGAUGUUUAUUUAAUUUUUUUUAUUUUUCAGUUCUUCAUUACAAUGUAACAUGAAAUUUGCUAUUUACAUUCCUCCAGAAACAAUACGUUCUGAAAAAUUCCCUGUAUUGUUUUACUUAUCAGGUUUAACAUGCAGUGAACAAAAUGUCAUCACUAAGUCAGGAUUUCAAAAAUUUGCUGCUCAAUAUAAAAUAAUUAUUGUUGCUCCUGACACUAGCCCUAGUAAGUUGAUAUCUAAACUGAUACAUAAUUGUGUAAAAUUGUAUAUCUUUAUACACUUUAGUAUAAGUAUAAACUGAAACAAAAUUUAAUAACUCUAAAGCUUAUAGGAAUUAAAUUUAGACAUGAUAAUUAUUUUAAUAGUUUAUCAUUUUAUUUAAAAUGCGUAUAAUUGAGAUCCGACUGAAGGCUUUGUCACAUCAUAACCGUAGGACCGACCAUCGUGACUGCUCCUCAGAAUCAAUAUAAUAUCAUAAUAUAAAAUAUAUAAUGUAUUAGUGAUUUUACCUCUAACCUUAGCUCCAAAUGUUGCAUGUAUGAUGGCGUAUAUAAUAUAUAUGUAUCAUUUUUAACAGCUCCAAAUUAAACUUAAUUAUUUAUUUAUUUAUUAACACCAGUCAGCAAUUUUGUGAUAACAUUUAUGGUUUGGUUUACAAGUAACAGUUAUUUAUAAUGUAAUACUAAUAAUUCACAGUAACAACGAAAAUAGUGCAGAAACAACAAAAUACAUAUUAGGUGGUGACAUAUUACCACCAUAUAAAAAAAAAAAAUUAAUAAAUAAAAAUUAAAUUAAAUAUAAAAACAUUACAACUAGUUUUACAUUUAAAAUGAUUAAAAAUCAUUUUUUGAUUGAAAUCAAAAUUAAGGCUAUUUAAAUUACGAAGCAUUUUAUGUAAGAGGAGGUUAUUACCAUAGAUAUACUGUGGGCUGGUACUAGGAAGAUAGUGUGAUGUCUGGAGAAGACGAAAGGGAUACGAAAACUUACUUUUAUAAUAGAUCAGAAGCAUCUAUGGUGCCUCUUAAGCAUGAAGAAAUAAAUUGCACGUCAAUGUCUUAUGUAGGAUAAACGUAGUGGAAUUUCCAAUAUACUACGAAUUAAGGAGAAGUCAUGUUGAUGGGUGUGGUAAUUUAAGGAAAUGGGCUGCGUGCGUAGGAAAGAAACCUAUUUUGAACACAUUCUAGUCUAAAUUCAUCUUUAGCCAAGUAAGGAUGCCAUACUAUCACUCUAUAUUCUAAUAUUGAAUGUACUAACGUGAAAUAUAAUGUCAGGAGGCAACACAAAAGAAAAAUGUGUGGUGUUGCGCUUAAUAAAUCCCAAGACUUUUAAUAUUUUACCUACAGUUACAUUUAUGUGAUGUUCAAAGUUAAAAGAUUGAGUAUAUCAAGAUUUUUAUGGAGAAAAACAUGAUCAAGAGUGGUGCCAUUAAAAUAAUAGUUGUUAAUUAUUUUUAAAUGUGGGUAUUUUGCUUAUGGAUUCACAUAAAUCGCAGUUUUUUUCUACUAUUUAUUAAGAAUACAAAAUAAAUCAUUAUAUUAUACAUAAUAUUAGCAAAAAAAAAGCAAUAUAAAAUUUCAUAUCUGGAGUCCCUGGUGCAUAAAACAAAUAUAAAGCUUAUUUUUAUCUGUAUCCUAUAAUAAUUAGCAAAAGGUCUAAAAUCUCGCCCUGGUUAUUACUUAUAGUGUUCUGGCUAUAAUUAUUUUUUAUAAUCUUAUAUAGUUUGACUAAAUAAGGUUUUUUUUUGUUGAUGAUAUGAAUUUUUAUGGCAGAACUGAACUUUUCUUAAAAUUAAUGAACACAAACUAAACUAAUCCUGCACAAAUUUACACAUACAACCUAUUUAUUUGAAUUGAACUGAACAAAACUAUUUAAAAUAUGUUAUUAACUUAAACUAAAUAUUAAACAUUUUUCAUAAUGAGGCCUCUUUGUCCCAUCAUGCACAGGAAACAGUGUUGGUAACUGCGCUGAAUAGUUGUUGUAGAUUUUUGAAUUUCAAAAAUUAAACAGCUCAUAACAUCUAUACUAUUUUUCACGAGAGAAAGUUAUUCACGCACGCAGACUGAGCUUACGGAUCACUUGCUACCGCUCUCGUCGUUGAUGGCAGUCCGCAAAAUUACACCUGGCCUAAUAGUGGUGGGAGCUCUGGGCGAGGUGCGGCGUGGGGAUGCGUAAAAAUAACUAGUUUUUGUUGAGACUCUCCGCUGUUCUUUCGUGAAAAAUAGUAUACUUUAUUUAUGUUUAUUGUGCGAACAAAUUAUUUUUCUGAAUAUUUAUAUUCAAACUAACCAUUUUUGAACACAUUAUAAAAAUAAAUAAUAAUAAUAUUAUUUUAUUUUUGUUAAUUGCUAUUUUAUGUAAAAUACAUGUAUUAAUUUUAUAGGAAAUGUUAUUUCUAAUGAAGAUGAUUCAUGGAAUGUUGGUGCUGGUGCAUCUAUGUAUGUAGAUGCUACCCAAGAACCUUGGAAUAAGCAUUAUCAGAUGUACACCUAUAUUACCAAAGAACUAUAUGAACUAAUACAAAAUCAUUUUCCAGUAAUAAAAAAUAAAAUAUCUAUU